rnacentral:lncRNA from 1 species
ACUGCUGUAGCUUUUCUCCCACUCAAACACUCACUUCCUGGGACUCAAAGAAAGUGCAGCUGAAUUCGAUGGCUUUUAGCUGGGGACUGGCUAGAUCAGUGGAAAUCACAACCAAGUUCUCCCACUGCCUUUCUAUCCAACAGCACUGUGGAUCACCCGCAGACAAGGAUGGAAUCACCAAAAAGUAUAAUCAUUAGGUCACUAGAUGUGCACGUUGGCAAUUUUCGAAAAUAUUGCCAGAGAGAUUGAAAUAAUUCACCACUGCCCCUCCUCCAGCUUCUCCUGGGCAUGCCACAUACACUGUGGGAAGGGGAAAGGCUGACCUAGAACACCUUCAAGUGGAUGCUACAUAGGAAGCUGGUUGGGACUGAAUCUGGGCAGAAUGGCUGUCGCACUUGCUUUGAAGUUACGAGCACAGCAGUACCAGAACAAUCAGCAGGCAUCUCCGAAAGUUUCCAGGGCAGGGUGCGGGCAUUUUCUUCUCAGUCUAUUCUCCAAAUAUCUACCCCAGGCCUGGUGUUAAACAAAUAUUAAUUGGAAAUGCUGAUCAUGAGAUCAAAGGAAUAGAGGAAAGAAAAUGGCAGCUUGCUGCACAUUAGCAAAACGUAAAACAGGGCAGACUUGGACCUAAUUUUCAGUUACUGAAAAUUGAAAAUUAUUCUCGCAGGGCUCCCAGACAAGUCAAGCUUUGAGCCUGUCUCUGCCAUGGUCCCUUCUCUGAGUCGUCUCCAGUGGUGCCACCUAAAGUCUGCCCCUUUGUCCUUUGAUCAGUGCUCUUUCUUUCCCACCCCCAUAGUGCUGAGAGCCUUCCCAGGUAACCUCUUCUCUUGCCUCACUUUCUGUCUCCUCACCUCCAGUCAGUGGCCUCAAGGGUUGGAGAAAAUUAAAAACAGCUUUCACACCAAGAAGCCCACAAUCUCUACAAUGGAAUAUUAGUUAAGGGUUAAUGAAUCCUGCACCCUGGGUUUCUGAACAAAGGACAAGAGGCAGUUGCCUUGAGUUGUAAGAGAGAGAAUUAAAAUGGGAUGUUGAAACUUGC